rnacentral:rRNA from 1 species
CCAAUAGCGUAUAUUAAAGUUGCUGCAGUUAAAAAGCUCGUAGUUGAAUUUCGGGACCAAUAUGUCGGUCGUGCCUCGGUACGUACUGGCAUUAUUGGUUUCUCCCUUCUGAAGAACCUUGAUGUCAUUAAUUUGGUGUCUUGGGGAAUCAGGACUGUUACUUUGAAAAAAUUAGAGUGUUUAAAGCAGGCUCGCGCUUGAAUACAUUAGCAUGGAAUAAUGAAAUAGGACGUUUGAUUCUAUUUUGUUGGUUUCUAGGAUCGACGUAAUGAUUAAUAGGGAUAGUUGGGGGCAUUAGUAUUCAAUUGUCAGAGGUGAAAUUCUUGGAUUUAUUGAAGACUAACUACUGCGAAAGCAUUUGCCAAGGAUGUUUUCAUUAAUCAAGAACGAAAGUUAGGGGAUCGAAGACGAUCAGAUACCGUCGUAGUCUUAACCAUAAACUAUGCCGACUAGGGAUCGGAUGAUGUUAAUUUUUAAUGACUCAUUCGGCGCCUUACG